AGGGGCAGAAUAGGAGUACAGAGUACAGUGGUACCUCAGGUUAAGAACUUAAUUCGUUCCAGAGGUCCGUUCUUAAUCUGAAACGGUUCUUAACCUGAGGCAUACUUUUGCAAUGGGGCCUCCUGCUGGUGCACAAUUUCCAUUCUUAUCCUGGGGCAAAGUUCUUAACCUGAAGCAACCACUUCCUGGUUAGCAGAGUUUGUAACCUGAAGCAUCUGUAACCCAAAACGUCUAUAACCCGAGGUACCACUGUACUAGGCAAAGUUUAGACAAUGACAAGAAAGAAUACACUUUGGAACAGCCACUAAGGGAGCAUUUGAAAUGGUAUGGACCUUGGCAGCUCAGCAACUGAUCUUCUGUAUUGCAAAAAGGGUUAACCUUCUUCCCUUAAGUAGGACACAUGAAGGCCAGAUGAAAAGAAAUAUUAAUUAUCUCUGUUUUACAGAUGAGACAGAAAAAUUCACUGACCUUCAUGUGUCGGAGAAUCUAUGGCAGUGAUUGAAAUUCUGGCUUUUCAUUCUGAUUCCAUGACUAGAUGAAUGCUUUUUCUCAUAGGAUAAUAGGUUUUGUGAAAUGUGAUAGCGGUGAAGAAAAACCAUGUAAGGGUAUAGAGGAUCUAAAUCAGCAUGUGUGUGUAUUUCUGUGUAAUGAUAAAAAUGGCAAAGUAAGUUUUUGAAAUAGUAUCCGACCUAUACAAUUU